UAGCUAGUUGGUGAGGUAAAGGCUUACCAAGGCGACGAUCUGUAGCGGGUCUGAGAGGAUGAUCCGCCACACUGGAACUGAGACACGGUCCAGACUCCUACGGGAGGCAGCAGUGGGGAAUUUUGGACAAUGGGGGCAACCCUGAUCCAGCCAUGCCGCGUGAGUGAAGAAGGCCUUCGGGUUGUAAAGCUCUUUCGGCCGGGAAGAAAUCGCAUGGGCCAAUACCCUGUGUGGAUGACGGUACCGGAAUAAGAAGCACCGGCUAACUACGUGCCAGCAGCCGCGGUAAUACGUAGGGUGCGAGCGUUAAUCGGAAUUACUGGGCGUAAAGCGUGCGCAGGCUGUUUUGUAAGACAGGCGUGAAAUCCCCGGGCUUAACCUGGGAACUGCGUUUGUGACUGCAAGGCUAGAGUACGGCAGAGGGGGGUGGAAUUCCACGUGUAGCAGUGAAAUGCGUAGAGAUGUGGAGGAACACCAAUGGCGAAGGCAGCCCCCUGGGUCGAUACUGACGCUCAUGCACGAAAGCGUGGGUAGCAAACAGGAUUAGAUACCCUGGUAGUCCACGCCCUAAACUAUGUCAACUAGGUGUUGGGUGGGUAAAACCAUUUAGUACCGUAGCUAACGCGUGAAGUUGACCGCCUGGGGAGUACGGCCGCAAGGUUAAAACUCAAAGGAAUUGACGGGGACCCGCACAAGCGGUGGAUGAUGUGGAUUAAUUCGAUGCAACGCGAAAAACCUUACCUACCCUUGACAUGCCAGGAACUUGCCAGAGAUGGCUUGGUGCCCGAAAGGGAGCCUGGACACAGGUGCUGCAUGGCUGUCGUCAGCUCGUGUCGUGAGAUGUUGGGUUAAGUCCCGCAACGAGCGCAACCCUUGUCGUUAAUUGCCAUCAUUUAGUUGGGCACUUUAACGAGACUGCCGGUGACAAACCGGAGGAAGGUGGGGAUGACGUCAAGUCCUCAUGGCCCUUAUGGGUAGGGCUUCACACGUCAUACAAUGGUCGGUACAAAGGGUUGCCAAGCCGCGAGGCGGAGCCAAUCCCAGAAAGCCGAUCGUAGUCCGGAUUGCAGGCUGCAACUCGCCUGCAUGAAGUCGGAAUCGCUAGUAAUCGUGGAUCAGCAUGUCACGGUGAAUACGUUCCCGGGUCUUGUACACACCGCCCGUCACACCAUGGGAGCGGGUUCCGCCAGAAGUAGGUAGCCUAACCGCAAGGGGGGCGCUUACCACGGCGGGGUUCGUGACUGGGGUGAAGUCGAAACAAGGUAGCCGUAGGGGAACCUGCGGCUG
rnacentral:rRNA from 1 species